AUUGGUUCGCUUGUCUGUUUUUGUACUGGAGGAUUUCCAAAUGCGAGAUUAUAUAACAAAAUAUAUAGUAGAAUUCAUCGAGAAAUGAUAUGAUCUCCAUAUCAUUCCAUCGAUCAGACAUAUUCCAUGUAUCGCAACCGAUCGUGCCUAUAAAUACCCACUGGUUAUCGCCUAUACGUUGCAAUAACAGGUGAGAUAUGUUUUGCCCUGAGGGAAGGCCAAGUACUUGCUCAAAGGAAAAAUGGAGCAAAGAUAAUCGUUGAGAGGGCUUCGCAUGAAGAGGCGGAGAGUGGAGUGCAGCCAAGGAUGACUUGCCGGCAUUUUCUCCAACGGAGGACUCUUGUUUGCAGUUGCCGGCAAGUUUGUCCUUGGCUACACUUGGCUCUCUUCUUCUCAUGUGAUGCUCUUGCGUGAUUCAGGCUAGGGAUUGCUGCCUCUAGUUAUGGAUGCUAUCGGUGCCUCUGGUAUGGUAAACAUCAAAAAAACUAAGAUAUGCAUCAUACGGUGAGUAUAUGAACUUCACUUUGCAUCAUACGGUGUAAACUUUCAAAAACCAAUGCCACUAAACAAUAUUAGAAACAAAAUCAAUAAAGAUGCUAGAUAUCAGUGCUCAAAGGAGAAUUUAAAAAAGUAACAGUGACCUAGCGACCAACUUUACCAGACAAAGCAGCACUACUGAUUUAAAAUGAGCUAGAGAGAAGGCAUGGAAGAUACUCAUCAAUGCUUUAAACCAGUACAUCUAACAAACUCGAUCUCUCUUCUUAUGAGUUAUGUUUUAUUGGCAAUUUGAAGUAUGCAAUUUCUUCCUAAUUCAUAAUUGUUCGAGUUUGUCGCCCUGAUGUUCAUGAGUUUUUAGUCUCUUUGGCUUGUGAUCUGUGGUAUAUGCAAGAGAUGACAUUUGACUUGCUUCUUUUUUGCAGUUCUGGGAAUUAAUAUUAUACAAGCAGAACAUCACAAUCCUUGGUGCUGAGUGAAUUUCAAAUGUUAAUAUCAUCAGUCAGAUACUCAAAUGAGGGAACAAGUGGAAGAAUAUAAUUCCAUCCAAUUAUUCAAUUUAUAAGGCAAAGACGAAAGGAAGCAAAAGCAUCAUGAAGCCACUAUAUUUGAUGUCAAUUUCACGUUGUUAAUUAAAGAAGGAGAGUACCGGCAAGCCGGCGGAAAUGUUCAAUUUUUUGAUUUAUUUUUCUAAAGAUGGUUAUGGGGCUUGAAAUAUAAAGAAAAAGAGUACAUCAAUCAUUGCUCUAUAGACAUUUAUCUGUGCUAACGGUCCUUUGGUAUUUAGCAAAUUAAAGAUAUUAAAAGAAAAGGUUGGGAAAGAUCCAUUCAUUAAAGUUGAUCAAACUUGGAUCUUAAAGAUAUUUCCUUGACAAUUUCUACAACAUUAUUUGUCUUAUUUUACCCUCUUAUGAGACACUUAUC